rnacentral:lncRNA from 1 species
AGGAUGUUUCUGGGGGAUCUAGUUUUGGUUAAAUUAUAGUUCUGCAUUCUUCAUCAUCAUUUCACUUAUUUCUUGGUGUUCACAUCUCAUUUAUUUCCCUUUCCUGAUACAACUGUUAGUUCAUGCUGGUUUAAAUGAGUCCUAAACUUCAUUGUAUGUGACAUUAAACAUCUUAAAUGUAACUUUCUGUAGCAAAGAAAGCUGCAGGAGCCCAGGUUUCAUCUUCACACACAUCAGGAGCAGCUGCUCCAUCACAAACACCACAGAAGAAGAACAACACUGGAUCAGAUUUAAUGUAACCGGCUGUUUUUAUCUGGAUUUAUCUGACAGGGACAGAGUUCAUGUUCAUGGACAUCAGGAUAAAAACAGAAGAUGGAAACCUGUGCUGUGGUUUAUAUAAAAGGAAAAUAUGACUGUAUAAAUAAAGACAAAGUGUUCAUGUCACUGCCCCAGAAAUCCUCUACAGUCUGUUACGGAGGUGCAUCAGUCUAAUUUAGCUUUACAAGAACAGCAGUUCUUAAACCUGCCACAAGGUGGAGCUCCGACACAAGGAAUGGAAGUAUCUCUGCUGUCCACAGUGUGACACAAACACAGACACACUGUUCACAGUCACAUAAAGCAUUGAAGGAAACACUUAUAUGUAAGUUCAAAGUAGAAACAACAUGUGCAUCAGUGUGUCUAAGUACAAUCAUCUUAAACAUGAUGUAGUCAAACCCCCAUCCAUGUGAUGCACAGUCAGAACAGUAGGGGGUGUUUUUUGUCUUUAGUCCCUCACAGGGGUCAUCACUGCAGUCAGCCAGGGUGACCAUCUCCCUGACUGCUGCCCUCCAACAUCUCCAGCUUCAACGGACUUUAGGAUUAUUUUCCAGCUGUUAAUUAUCCUAGCCAAUUCCUGUCAUAUUUGAUAUAUUACACUGACAUGUUUUUCACCUUAUUUAGCCUCAUUUUCAAACUUGCGAGAUAAAUAAAGCAUUUCUUAUGUUAAGUAAUGAUUAAUUAUGAUGUCAAAAAGGAAUAAUCCUAUUAUCACAUCCUGAUGAGUUUGAUCCUGAAGCAGCUUUUAUGUCAAACUUGCUGCCUGUUUGACACCCGAGGUUUUAGUUGCAGGCUGACGCUGCGGUGAUGUGCUGCCACCAGCUGGCAGCUUCCUGUAACUACACAGUCUGUGUGAACAGCUCCACAGGCGUUCACAUGUAGUGUCUACUCCACAGUGGGAGCUUGUGCACUCUGUGUGCAGGUGUAAAAACUGAGCCAGCUGAGAGCAUCAGCGACCAUAACCAUCCAUUUCUUAAACACAGAGGUCUCUGCUGUGGUUUCUCUCACUCACCACCAGGUGAAGAUUUCCUGUCAUUGACACUCACUGGACCCAAACAGGUAAUUAUAGUGUAAAAAGCUGUUUGUCUACAAGCUUGUCUCUCACCCUAUCAUGCGAUUUCCUGAGGUCAGAUGGCCCAGGAUGUGAGUGGGCGUUAAGGCGUCUGCGAAGGGAUCUUAGGGGGACACUCCAACAGGGUUAAAUCUGGGACUCUUCACCAUUUGAAGAGUCCCAGAUUUAAGCCCUAGAACUGAAGAAGCUUCUCAGAUGAAGGUGAAACGUCUUCAAGCAACUUAAAGAAGUCCAGACGCUUUUCUUUCCAAGCUCCUUCGACUACGAUGACCUGGAUGAUGGAGAACCUUCAUGGACAUACUGACAUAAACUGAUCUGUAGAAGAAAAUGUAGAAAAAUGAGUUAUAUGAUAAAACAUGUUUAUGAUAGUUUAAGCUAUAUUUCAUACAUCACACUGACUCCACUCUGACAUCACUGAUCAAUAAUCAAACAGAUCAAACUGAUUGAUCAGCCAUCAGAGGAGUCGGAUCAAUGGAGCUGCUUCUGUUCCUGAUGUUUGAUCCUGGACCUGAACCUGCAGAGGAGACACGACAGCUUCACACAGAAACACAAUAAAAUAAUAAGUGAAAGAGAACCAAGUGAAAGUGAACAAACACCUGUAACUGUG